UACUUUCAAAUGCCUGUAUACUUUAUUAAUCAUACUAUUUGCAUACAUCUGAAUUUAUUUAUUUAUGGAGUAUGCUCACUAAGUGUACAGGCACUGCUUGGUGCACAAAUGGCUUCGCCCACCCCUUGCACAGGGAAGCCCCCAGGGUCCCCAGGAGGCGCCCAGGGUCCAAGGCCCGGGGCCUAGAGCUGCUACCGAGGACGCAGAGGCGCUAGGUCCUGCCUUCUACCCUAAACGUUCCUUUAAGCCGGAUUCCCAGGGGCUGCAGGCGGCCCUUCCUGCAAGUCGCCGGGGCAUCGCAGGGCAUCUGCUGCCCCCUAUCGGUGGUGAGGCGAACAAUAACCCGAACCCAGUUAGAAUCGACUAGAAGAGGCCUCUUGAAUAAAAGAAUAUUCCAUGACUACGCAGUAGCCAGAGGACUCUCAGAGCCUGUUUUCCGCAGACAUCCAGCUCCGGCUGCCGCGUUGUAACGCAGGUGUCCGCCAGUCAAGGAGAAGAUGAUGGAUUGUGAGGAGCAAUCUGACGCUGCUUCGGCGAAGGCAGGGAGCGGCGUGGGUUGCGGGGUCCCGGAUACACCCAGGGUUCACCUUGUGUUUUCCACCCUCCCAUUCACCAGUCCACCUCGUCCUUAGGAAAAGCGUUUGCCCUCACUCGGGACGGGGAUGUUCCUUAGGGCACAGCGUGGUGUUUUCCCAAGCCCCUGAAACACCUGUCCCCUCAUAUUACACCUUGAGCAGAGUCCAGUGACCUCUGCUGCAGAGGUGACAAAGGCCACUCUCCUUGAGUAGCCGCCUCAACUGUGUCCAGGAAUGGCCUUCCAACAGCGUGUUACUUCUCUGAUCCCUUUGGUGGGAAUAUGAAUAUGCUUCAGAAAAGUCAAAUAAAUACUGAGAAGAAAACUCUCGGACACCCCCGGCUACCACUGAUGCCCGUACAGUGAAAGUUCCUGCCAGGACCGCACAGUGUCCUAACUUGUUCACUCUUGUCCAUAUUUGCCUUGGCCCUUUUGGGAAGAAGGCAAGAGAAAGAUGAACGAAGGUGAGUGGGGGAAGGGAGGGAGGGGAAGAGGGAGAAUCGCCUUCUACGCAAGACUUUAAGCCGGAAGACGCCCCGGCGGAGGGUCUUCAGGACGACAACGGAAAAGUCCCACUACACGCUCAGAGCGCUGGUGCUGGCGCCCCCAACUGCCGGUGGCAGCAGGAGAUCCGGGAUCCAGUUGGUCCCCUCCGAGGGUUCCGCCCGCCCGCGCUGGCGGUGGGGCCCUCCAGGGUCGCUGCGAGUCUGGGAGAGGAAGGAGGCUCCGCUGGCUCCGUUCUCCCUCCCAGCUCGCCGUGGCCAUGGCCCCGCCAAGUCUCCGCUCCCGAGCGGCCGCAGGUGCCGAGUGGCCGAUCCCCGGAGCGAGUGAAACGCGGGCCUCGCCGCCCCAUCCCGUCCCCGGCUCCAGGAGGGUCUCCGGCGGGUGGCCGCGUCCCCUCGGUCCGGCGCCCCUUCCCCGCGGCCUGUGGGCGCGGCGCGCAGGGGCGCGGGCGGGCGGCGGCUCCCGGGCGCGGGCGGAAGGCGCGGCACCGCCUCGGUCACGGCCGCCGCCGGGCUCAGGCGGAAGCCCGGGCUCCGGAGGGGCGGGGCCGCCGCGCCCGGCGAGGCCCAGGGCUCCGGGCCCCGGCGCGCCCGUCGGUGCAUCAGCGGAACCCCGGCGGCCGCCGCGCCCGCCAGGCACCGAUGGCCCCUGGUCAGCUUCAGCGCCCUCCCCGCGCGUGGUGGGGCGAGGCCGUGCCCACGCGUGUCCGUCCGGCUGCGCGUCUGUCACUUGCACACUCGGAGCCCCUCCGGCCGCGCAGGCCCCGGCUCUGGGGUUGGCGGCUCCCGCGUCUGCCACCUCCAGGACCCGGAGCCGCCAACCCCAGCCUCCCGGCGAGCCGGGACUUCCCGGAUGGGGCCAUGCUUUCCUUCCAGGACAACCAGGGCUCCUCCCCUCCCGGCGAUCUUUCUAGGAGGCCACCUCCAGAGAUUCCGAGGCGAUUUCCUCCCUGCCGGUACCAAACCGGUAACUCCUCUCACUGAAGACACCAGGGGGACUGACAAGCUGAGUGAGUGGCGAGGGACCACCACCACCGAAAAACCCAGCGUUCCACGUGCGCGGACUGUUUUGAUCGCACUCAUUACCUGUCAGCCUCUGGCCAGGCAACAGCCUCCCAAACCUGCAGAGGCACUGUUUUCUACCCAGCAUCUCCGGUUGUACUUGUGGCAGAAUUUCCUACUGCUGGAAGCUUAUGAGUGGGCAAAUACUUUCUGUACCUUCUGAGACCACGAGGGCAUGCCAAAACCAGCCACUUGAACAUUAUUCACAAUAACCAAGAUGUGGAAGCAACCCAAGUGCCCAUCGACUGAUGCAUGGGUAAGGAGACCAGGUCUGAGAAUAUUCUGGAGUCCUCUACAGAGGGGAGGGCAGUGAUUGGCAACUCCCAUCUCUUUGCAAACAAGAAGCCAUGUUCUCUGGAGGUUUCCCUGGAAAGGCCAAGAACUCGGUUUUCAGUGUUGUCUGAGAGAGACGGGUUUGCCAGCAAAAGCUCCAUAGCCAUGAGUUACAGUGAAUUCAGUGGGGUGACCACAGCCUGGUGGAGAUGGACUUGACUGUGAGCGGCUUGGAACGCUGUACCCCUGGCCUCAGCGCUCGGGACUUCUCUCUGCAGAGUGUGUGUGUCAAUCUGCACAAUGUCUCUUUUAGUAUAUAAACUUCCAAAGAACACGCAAAAUUUAUAUUUUACUCAUUCUAUAUAAAGGUUCUAGAACAGGGCUGUGAAAAACCAGCUGCUCUGUUUUUGGAGACGUUCCCUAUAGCUUAUUAAUUAUUAGUGAGUAAAAUUUAAUAGUGGUAAAAUUUUUUGAGAAAUUAAAAUAUUAGUAAAUAAUAGUUGACAUGUUUUUCCAACUGUGAACUCAUGUAACAGUUAAUUCCUGAGUACCCACUAUGUACCAGGCACUCUUCUAGGGCCUGAGGUUACAGAAAGUGUUAAGGGCAGAAUUAUGUCUCCCCCCUAAAUUCAGAUGUUGAAGCUUGACCCCUAAUGUGAUGGCAUUGGGAGGUGGGGCCUUUGGAAAGUAAUCAGGAUUAGAUGAGGUCAUGAGGGGGACCCUCAUGAUGAGAUUAGUGCCCUUAUAAGAAGAGACAC
rnacentral:lncRNA from 1 species